UACGUAGGGUGCGAGCGUUACUCGGAAUUACUGGGCGUAAAGCGUGCGCAGGCGGUGCACCAAGCUCGUUGUGAAAGCCCCGGGCUUAACCUGGGAAUUGCAUUGGGGACUGGUGUGCUCGAGUGCGGCAGAGGGGGGUGGAAUUCCACGUGUAGCAGUGAAAUGCGUAGAUAUCUGGAGGAAUACCGGUGGCGAAGGCGGCAUCCUGGACCAUUACUGACGCUGAGGCGCGAAAGCUAGGGGAGCAAACGGG
rnacentral:rRNA from 1 species